rnacentral:rRNA from 1 species
GGGGGACAAAGUGACAGGUGGUGCAUGGUUGUCGUCAGCUCGUGUCGUGAGAUGUUGGGUUAAGUCCCGCAACGAGCGCAACCCUUAAGCUUAGUUGCCAUCAUUAAGUUGGGCACUCUAGGUUGACUGCCGGUGACAAACCGGAGGAAGGUGGGGAUGACGUCAAAUCAUCAUGCCCCUUAUGAUUUGGGCUACACACGUGCUACAAUGGACAAUACAAAGGGCAGCUAAACCGCGAGGUCAUGCAAAUCCCAUAAAGUUGUUCUCAGUUCGGAUUGUAGUCUGCAACUCGACUACAUGAAGCUGGAAUCGCUAGUAAUCGUAGAUCAGCAUGCUACGGUGAAUACGUUCCCGGGUCUUGUACACACCGCCCGUCACACCACGAGAGUUUGUAACACCCGAAGCCGGUGGAGUAACCAUUUAUGGAGCUAGCCGUCGAAGGU